rnacentral:lncRNA from 1 species
GUACUUGUGCAUUGAGCCAGGCUCUUGGUGGUAAAGAGGAGAAUUCAUUUUUCAUAGGCAACUGCAUAUUUCCAAGAUGGCUAACGAAAAUGGAAAAAUAAGAACCAAAAUGGAAAGAAAUGGACCUAACCCUAACCAACCCCAAUAGGGUUCACGUGUGCGUGAGGUGACGUUUUGUCGGACCCUUGCUCGUCCAAAGACAGCAACGCGAAGCGAACCUUGGGCACAGAAAAUCAUCCCCCUUUUCUUUUCUUUCUUUCUUUCUCCUUUUUCUCUUCUUACAAUAUUUAUCAUUUCCUCUCUCCCCUUUUUCUCUCCAAUUUAUCCAUUAUGAGUUCGCCGACAACCGCCAUAUCUCAGCCGCUCCAAAGCUCCGCAAUAUCCGCUUUCUUUCCCACCGGUACAAUCAAAACAACGCCGUUUUGUUUAUAAAUUGCAAAAAAAAAUGAAUUAUAUAUUAAACAUUCAAAGAAACGAAAGAAAAUCGUUGUUGUUCUUAUCAUGUUAUCUAUGUGUUGAUUCACUUUCACGAAUCUCUUGUUCGUUUUUCUUUUUUCUUUAUUGGCUCGAUUGGCAUUAGAAAUGUGUUUGUUUUUCCUAUUUUUGAUUAAAAUUUUUGUUCAGUUUUACUUAUCCGACGAAUUAGCUGCUCGACUCUGUUCGCUAGGAAGGUUAGGUUUUUGUUUGCUUUGAUGCUCUAUGUGUGUUCAUUUGCUGUAAAAGCUGUUUGGUUUCUGAGAAUGUGAAAGAAACGUGAUCAUGAAGUAUAAGGUCUUUUUUUUUUUUUUGAAUCGGAUAUUAGAAUAACUGAUACAUGCACGAAAUAAGGUUAGCGUUUAGUUUGCAUUGCCAUUGAAGUUAAUUUUUAGUUAAAAGAACUGUAAAAUCAUAAGAAAGAUGGCUCCUUUAUCUUGUUACUUUCCAGAAGCUUGGCAGAUGAAAAUUUUCGGCUUCAACGUGUUAGUUUGGUUGUUCUAAGAACUGUUGAGUAAGAGUGAGAAAAAAAAUUGAAAAAAUCGAAAAUCAAAAAUCAAUUUAAAAUUGUAGUAUUUCAUUUGAAUUGUUUUUUUUUAGUCGAUUCGAAUUAAAUUUAAAUAUUAAAUAUAUAUAUAUAUAUAUUAGGUUAUUGAAUUUUGUACGGAAGUUAAAAAAUUGAACUGAAUCGAAUUAUAUAUUUUUAUUAGUUUUUAUAUUUUAUUAAAUUUUUUAAAAAUAAAAAUAUAAUUUUAUAUCAAAAUUUAUUUAAAUAUAUUAAAAUUUUAUAUUAAAAUAAUAUAAAAAAACAAAAUGUUUAAAUUUUAAAACCAAGAAACUGAAUUUUUAUAAAAAAAAAUAAUAAUUUUAUAUCAAAAUCUAUUUAAAUAUAUUAAAAUUUUAGAUUAAAAUAAUAUAUUAAAACAAAAAAUUUUAAAUUUUAAAACUGAUAAACCGAACUGAAAUGAAUCAGUAAAAUUCGGUUCAGAUCGGAUUGUAUGAAGACUCAAUUUGAAUUUAGAACAGAUUUUAAAAAUUUAUAAUAUUAUACAAUAUCUAAAAAUCAAACCGAAUUUAAUCUGAUCCAAACAUUAUCACUCAUUCUUGAGUGACUUAUCUUUUUCUUCACGGUAAUGAUUGAAGUUACCAUAAGUUGAAUAUCUCACUUUAAAAGUCAAAUACAUGAAUUUUAUGUUCUAAAAUGAUAAUAGAGGUGGAGUGGUAGUGAUAUGUGAAAUAAUAUUUGGAAGUGAUUGCAUUUAUGAUUUUUUGAGGUAAAGUCAUGGUCAACGGGGGACUGAUGGCGGUUGAAUGAUGGUAAUUAAUGAAAACUUAGAUUUUUGGGAAUACAGUUAUGGAAAUCAAUGCAAUGCCAUGAGGUGUUUAAGAUUAAUUAUGCAUGCUCGACAAAGACAAGUGGAAUAUUGGAUGAGGUACUGAGAGGAUACAUGUUGACAUUGGCAGAAGGAUUUCAUUUAGCUCCAUUUUUUGUGCUUGCAGGGUCAAAGUUUAAUUAAAAGAAAUUAACCAAUUUUAUAUCAACAGUGGGGCAAUUGCUAGAUAACUUGGAGUGUCUAAUUGACUACUUUAAUUUACCUGAGAAGUGUUUAACAAGAGGUGUCAGGCUCAGCUGAGAACAGAAAUUGGUGUGUUGAUUUCCUAUGAAGGAACCGUUGUGCCAUGAGUCCUGUUUGUCCUGCUGCACUGUGAAAAUAUCUGUGCUUAAUGAUUGUGUCAUGAGGUCUUGGAUGGAUGACUAUUGCCUUGAAGAAAUGGGGAGAGAAAGUGGGGUGGAGCAAUCAUUUCAGUGUAAGCUUUAGCAAGAGCAUUAUUGACUUAGUUGGGGUUUUGUAUUUCUAAUUAUAGUUAGACUCAUUUGCUGAACAAAAUCGGUGGUUAUCAUUUUAUGCUUUAUGUUUUGGAGUUGGGAUGUGGAAGUUACUUUGGAAAUUACUUCUUUCUAUUGGAAUAUGUGGUUCUAUAAAGCAAAUUCAGAAGAAGGAAAGUGUUUUUCUGAUGAAAGAAUGGUUGAGAUAAUCCUGCUAAAUGACUUAAAUUUUCGACUACUAUACUAUUUUCCCUGCAAUAUCAAGUAUCUUACUUCUGCUGUUGUUUUGACUCUGAUUUUAGCUGUUGCAGUGACAGAAAUCAUGAUAUUGUAGGUAUGCAUUGACAGUCCUACAUAGAUUAUCCAUUCUGAAAAUUUUCAGCAGUGUAUGUUAACACUAACUCAAACAUACAUAGAAAUUAAUUUAAAAAUGUGAUUGACAGAUUCAGCUUAUUUAGGAUCUGGGGACACCAUUUAUGAUAUAUAAUGUAGGAGCUUAGGUGUAUUACCUUCUCUUGCAUCCUGUUUAUUUAAUCGUGUAAUUGCGGAAACUUGACUAUAAUUUGAUAAGAUUGUUUAUUUACGUAGUUAUUGUAUUUAAUCUGGAAGAUCUGUCCAUAACUCUGUUGCUUUUCGUAUUGUUUCUGGUUGAACAGCUUCAUGUUGCAGCUUUAAUUACCUCUUGAGAUCUACUUCGAAAUCAAUGUACGUGCAGGUGGGAAAUUUGCCAUUGAUAUUAGUACUGUGGGAAACUCAUUACAGGUUUGAGAGUCUCUGUCAUUUAAGAAGUGCAAAGCUGUUGUUUGAUCUACUGUAUUCAAGCUUUUGAGUCCCAGAGAGGCAGGGAAUGUAACUUAUACUACAGCAAGUUUUAAAUAAAUACCUUUCUCAGUGUUUCAAAUUUCCUUUCAAAUGUCAGAAGUUGAUAUGGCUGUCAUUAAACCUGAGGUAAGUUGUUCUGAGUCCAUUUAAAUUUACAUAUUGUUGUUUUUCCUUUCAUCAUAAUGAAUGGAGGUGAAGUAGCUUCCCCUUUUCUAUUCACUUCUUUUACGUUUUAGGUAAUUUAGUCAUUAUUAUACACUUCAAACUAGUGCAGUUUCUUUCACAUUCUUCAGGGUUCUUUUUCGGUAGGUAUAAAAUGCGUAUUCUUUAGGGCUUCCUGCAUUACUUUAGAAACUACAUUGUCUAGGUAAUCAGCAAAAUAUUGGCUCUGGUUUGACAUGAAACUAAUUAUGGUGCUUUGAAUAGUUUUUGUUUGUUUGCAUUUUUAUCUAUUAUGUCCAUAACUUCCUU